rnacentral:rRNA from 1 species
GGCCUACCAAGGCGACGACGGGUAGCCGACCUGAGAGGGUGACCGGCCACACUGGGACUGAGACACGGCCCAGACUCCUACGGGAGGCAGCAGUGGGGAAUAUUGCACAAUGGGCGGAAGCCUGAUGCAGCGACGCCGCGUGAGGGAUGACGGCCUUCGGGUUGUAAACCUCUUUCAGCAGGGACGAAGCGUAAGUGACGGUACCUGCAGAAGAAGCACCGGCUAACUAUGUGCCAGCAGCCGCGGUAAUACGUAGGGUGCGAGCGUUGUCCGGAAUUACUGGGCGUAAAGAGUUCGUAGGCGGUUUGUCGCGUCGUUUGUGAAAACCCGGGGCUCAACUUCGGGCUUGCAGGCGAUACGGGCAGACUUGAGUGUUUCAGGGGAGACUGGAAUUCCUGGUGUAGCGGUGAAAUGCGCAGAUAUCAGGAGGAACACCGGUGGCGAAGGCGGGUCUCUGGGUAGUAACUGACGCUGAGGAACGAAAGCGUGGGUAGCAAACAGGAUUAGAUACCCUGGUAGUCCACGCCGUAAACGGUGGGCGCUAGGUGUG